GCUUACGGCCAUACCACCCUGAACACCCGAUCUCGUCAGAUCUCGGAAGCUAAGCAGGGUCGGGCCUGGUUAGUACUUGGAUGGGAGACCGCCUGGGAAUACCAGGUGCUGUAAGCU
ensembl:rRNA 5S_rRNA 5S ribosomal RNA